GAUGAAGAACGUAGCGAAAUGCGAUAAGUAGUGUGAAUUGCAGAAUUCAGUGAAUCAUCGAAUCUUUGAACGCACAUUGCGCCCCUUGGUAUUCCAUGGGGCAUGCCUGUUCGAGCGUCAUUUGUACCUUCAAGCUCUGCUUGGUGUUGGGUGUUUGUCUCGCCUCUGCGUGUAGACUCGCCUCAAAACAAUUGGCAGCCGGCGUAUUGAUUUCGGAGCGCAGUACAUCUCGCGCUUUGCACUCAUAACGACGACGUCCAAAAGUACAUUUUUACACUCUUGACCUCGGAUCAGGUAGGGAUACCCGCUGAACUUAAGCAUAUCAAUAAGGGAGGA
rnacentral:misc_RNA from 1 species